rnacentral:rRNA from 1 species
UUGGUUAAGUUAGAAAGGGCGCACGGUGGAUGCCUUGGCACUAGGAGCCGAAGAAGGACGGGACUAACACCGAUAUGCUUUGGGGAGCUGUACGUAAGCGUUGAUCCAGAGAUUUCCGAAUGGGGGAACCCACUAUCUUUAGUCGGAUAGUAUCCUUACGUGAAUACAUAGCGUGAGGAAGGCAGACCCAGGGAACUGAAACAUCUAAGUACCUGGAGGAAGAGAAAGAAAAAUCGAUUUCCUGAGUAGCGGCGAGCGAAACGGAAAGAGCCCAAACCAAGAAGCUUGCUUCUUGGGGUUGUAGGACACUCUAUACGGAGUUACAAAAGAAAGUUAUAAAUGAAGCGGUCUGGAAAGGCCCGCCAAAGACGGUAACAGCCCGGUAGUUGAAAUGGCUUUCCCUCCAGAGUGGAUCCUGAGUACGGCGGAACACGUGAAAUUCCGUCGGAAUCCGGGAGGACCAUCUCCCAAGGCUAAAUACUCCCUAGUGACCGAUAGUGAACCAGUACCGUGAGGGAAAGGUGAAAAGCACCCCGGAAGGGGAGUGAAACAGUUCCUGAAACCGUGUGCCUACAAGUAGUUAGAGCCCGUUAAUGGGUGAUAGCGUGCCUUUUGUAGAAUGAACCGGCGAGUUACGAUUUGUUGCAAGGUUAAGCGGAAAAAGCGGAGCCGUAGCGAAAGCGAGUCUGAAUAGGGCGCAUAAGUAACAGGUCGUAGACCCGAAACCAGGUGAUCUACCCAUGUCCAGGAUGAAGGUAAGGUAAUACUUACUGGAGGUCCGAACCCACGCACGUUGAAAAGUGCGGGGAUGAGGUGUGGGUAGCGGAGAAAUUCCAAUCGAACUUGGAGAUAGCUGGUUCUCUCCGAAAUAGCUUUAGGGCUAGCCUCGAGGUAAAGAGUCAUGGAGGUAGAGCACUGUUUGGACUAGGGGCCCUUCUCGGGUUACCGAAUUCAGAUAAACUCCGAAUGCCAUGUACUUAUACUCGGGAGUCAGACUGCGAGUGAUAAGAUCCGUAGUCGAAAGGGAAACAGCCCAGACCACCAGUUAAGGUCCCCAAAUAUAUGUUAAGUGGAAAAGGAUGUGGGGUUGCUUAGACAACCAGGAUGUUGGCUUAGAAGCAGCCACCAUUGAAAGAGUGCGUAAUAGCUCACUGGUCGAGUGACCCCGCGCCGAAAA